GAGGUUGGAUUUGUUAGAAAAUUUAGUUGGCGCUUUAAAGGCAUCUAUGGCUUUUCUUGUGUUUGUAUUUGUUCUAUAUGUAUAGCUUUAUCAAGAAACACACACAAACACACAGUGUCAAUGGCUAUUUACACCUUUCAUACAUUGACCAUAAUGAAUUACCUCCCCUCUACCAGCCCCUUUAAUUUCCCUGCACUGCAUGCACUUAUUAGUUUUAAUUGCAAAUAUUUACUCCAAUUUUCCAUUUUGAGCAAACUAUCUUGGGAUUUUCUCCAACCAUUAAUACAUUUUCCUGCCCCUCAAUUUACUCCUCUCUCUCCUUUCUACACUUCCUCUUUCAAUUCAUUCAAUUGAUUUCCUAUUAACUCUCUCUCUCUCUCUCUUCCAACUCGUCCGUCUUAUAAUUUAAUUAAGCUUUUAAAGCAAUCCCAUCUCUCCGCUCUAUAGUUCCCAUUAUAUAAUAUGUCUUUACAAGUCCAAGAUCAUCAACUAGGACCACAACAACUUCCACUUGUUCAUCUUAGUAGUUUAGCCGUGCUGCAGGUGGUUCCGGUUACUUCCCUUGGUGCCUCGCCGAUCACCGCUGUAACCUUCCGGCUACCGCCGUCCCUUUCUUCCAUCACAACCACCCUUACUCCACCUUUGAAUUAGAAGAGCUAGCCCUCAUCACUUCCUUUAGGGUGGCGAAAGAUUUCUCAAUCUUAAGGGGAGAUUAUUCAAAAAAGAAGAAGAAAAGAAAUCAUAUUUAUUACAAGUACAAUUAGCCAUGAGCCGAAGAAAUGGAAAUGGUGAGCUUGAUCUAAAGCUGAAUUUGUCACCACCACGAGUGAUCAACCACCCACAAGUGGAAUCACCGAGCAGGUCGUUGACGGCGUCGCCGACGAGUUCAUGCGUGUCGUCCGAUGAUUCCUCCGCCGUUCAACGUUAUUCCGACAGCCCAGAAACAAUUACUUCAAUGGUGUUGGUUGGUUGUCCACGGUGCCUCAUGUAUGUUAUGUUAGCAGAAGUUAAUGAUCCAAGAUGCCCUAAAUGCAAGAGUACUUGUUUGCUUGAUGUUAUGUAUGAGAAGAACAAGACUACUAGGAGGAAUAUCAGUUAGACUAUAGUCAAGAAUCUAUCACAUUCUGCUAUUACUAGGUUUAUCAACAAUCUUGCCCCCCACCUUGGAAAAAAUGAAAAAUUAAACCCUCUAGCCCUGUUUUUCAACUUUCUAUAAAUAGCACUAUUUGAGCUCCAUUUUGACUUGAAUCCAAAAUGAAAAAGUAAAAGAAGAAAGAAGAAUUAUGAAAUGGGUGAAGGGAACUUUUGGAGCUUCUGUAGUGCUAUUUUUAUUUUUAUUUAUUUUUAGGUUCUUUUAGAAAUUUGGGUUUCUAGGUUAGGUUUGUUUGCAGCUGAAGGGUGAUCUGGAAAAAGUAGCAUGUGUUGUAUUGGUGGAUUUAAGGUAUGUUUCUUGUUCUAUCUUUAGUAGAAGACUAUGUAAUGCCCAAGUUUUCUCAGAAAAAAAAAAGGAAGAAAAAUGUUCGUUAUUUUCUCAAAUGAUGAGUGAAAAUUCUUCUUUGACCCCA